CCUACGGGCGGCAGCAGUGGGGAAUAUUGGACAAUGGGGGCAACCCUGAUCCAGCCAUGCCGCGUGUGUGAAGAAGGCCCUCGGGUUGUAAAGCACUUUCAGUGAGGAAGAACGCCUGGUGGUUAAUACCCAUCAGGAAAGACAUCACUCACAGAAGAAGCACCGGCUAACUCCGUGCCAGCAGCCGCGGUAAUACGGAGGGUGCGAGCGUUAAUCGGAAUUACUGGGCGUAAAGCGCGCGUAGGUGGCUUGAUAAGCCGGUUGUGAAAGCCCCGGGCUCAACCUGGGAACAGCAUCCGGAACUGUCAAGCUAGAGUGCAGGAGAGGAAGGUAGAAUUCCCGGUGUAGCGGUGAAAUGCGUAGAGAUCGGGAGGAAUACCAGUGGCGAAGGCGGCCUUCUGGACUGACACUGACACUGAGGUGCGAAAGCGUGGGUAGCAAACAGGAUUAGAUACCCUAGUAGUC
rnacentral:rRNA from 1 species